rnacentral:tRNA from 1 species
GCGGGUGUAGCUCAGUGGUAGAGCGCCACCUUGCCAAGGUGGAUGUCGACGGUUCGAAUCCGUUCACCCGCUCCA